AACGAACGCUGGCGGCAGGCUUAACACAUGCAAGUCGAGCGCCCCGCAAGGGGAGCGGCAGACGGGUGAGUAACGCGUGGGAAUCUACCCAUCUCUACGGAAUAACGCAUGGAAACGUGUGCUAAUACCGUAUACGUCCUUCGGGAGAAAGAUUUAUCGGAGAUGGAUGAGCCCGCGUUGGAUUGGCUAGUUGGUGGGGUAAAGGCCUACCAAGGCGACGAUCCAUAGCUGGUCUGAGAGGAUGAUCAGCCACACUGGGACUGAGACACGGCCCAGACUCCUACGGGAGGCAGCAGUGGGGAAUAUUGGACAAUGGGCGCAAGCCUGAUCCAGCCAUGCCGCGUGAGUGAUGAAGGCCCUAGGGUUGUAAAGCUCUGUCACCGGUGAAGAUAAUGACGGUAACCGGAGAAGAAGCCCCGGCUAACUUCGUGCCAGCCGCCGCCGUAAGAC
rnacentral:rRNA from 1 species